rnacentral:tRNA from 1 species
AGGGUAGUAGCUCAAUUGGUAGAGUAGCGGUCUCCAAAACCGUUGGUUCUGAGUUCGAGUCUCAGUUGCCCUGCCA